rnacentral:rRNA from 1 species
GACGAACGCUGGCGGCGUGCCUAAUACAUGCAAGUAGAACGCUGAAGGAGGAGCUUGCUUCUCUGGAUGAGUUGCGAACGGGUGAGUAACGCGUAGGUAACCUGCCUGGUAGCGGGGGAUAACUAUUGGAAACGAUAGCUAAUACCGCAUAAGAGUAGAUGUUGCAUGACAUUUGCUUAAAAGGUGCAAUUGCAUCACUACCAGAUGGACCUGCGUUGUAUUAGCUAGUUGGUGGGGUAACGGCUCACCAAGGCGACGAUACAUAGCCGACCUGAGAGGGUGAUCGGCCACACUGGGACUGAGACACGGCCCAGACUCCUACGGGAGGCAGCAGUAGGGAAUCUUCGGCAAUGGACGGAAGUCUUACCGAGCAACGCCGCGGGAGUGAAGAAGGUUUUCGGAUCGUAAAGCUCUGUUGUAAAAGAAGAACGAGUGUGAGAGUGGAAAGUUCACACUGUGACGGUAUCUUACCAGAAAGGGACGGCUAACUACGUG